AUCCAAUCAGGCUAAAAUUUGGGAACCCAAGCCGUUGCCGGUCCAAGCCAAAGAGACGAGACCCUAGCUGCAAGGAGCCCUCCACUUCCGGGGCAUUCCAGCCAAUCGCCAAGAAGCUUUCAAGAAGCUCUCCAAGAUUUUUUUUUUUCUUUUUUCUUUGGGUAAAUCAGAUUCAAGGAAGACAAAGGAAGGCAAAGCAAGACAAGAAGGAAUCCCGUCCUCCGGUAGACCCGAAGACUGACCCCCGCGCCCGCGGAAUCAAAUCCUGAUCGCAGAAAGAGGCGCCUCGAACCCGAACCUCCUCAAGGAUUAAAGCUUCCACCUUCCUCCCUUCUAUCUAUUCUCCCGCGACAAUGGCGAGAAAUUUCUGCGACGUCCGACUCCUCCUCAUCGUCGCAGCCACCGCCUUUAUAUUCAUCCAGGUUCAAUGCUUGCUUCAGCUUCAUGGAACUGUAGUCUGGCAUUGACACUCAAAACUGGAUGAAGUCAAUAGCCAAGAGUGAGAAUCUUGGAGUAGCCUCCCGUACAAAAUUUCUGUCAUUUCCCUGGUCAAGUCAUGCUUGGAUUCCUGAUCUUCAACAAAUGCGCCUUUUGGCAACACAGUCUGAGUGUGCAGAUCGCCUAGCUUCUGCGGUGGAGUCUGAAAGGCAGUGCACAAGUCAGAUGAGAUCGUUGAUAGAUCAGAUUAGUGUACAACAAGGAAAAAUUGUUGCCUUGGAAGAGGAAAAGAAGCUUCAAGAUGAAGAGUUUACCCACUUGAAGGCCCUAGUUCAAGAUCUUGAAAAAAAAGGUCUUCAGAGCUUGUUGAACAACUUAGAGGUACCUGUAGCAGCAGUUGUUAUAAUGGCCUGUAAUCGCCCAGACUAUUUGCAAAGGACAAUUCAAUCUGUUUUAAAAUAUCAGACUUCAGUUGCUUCCAAAUUUCCACUAUUUGUAUCCCAGGACGGAACAAAUCGAGAUGUUAAAAACAUGGCUUUGAGCUUUAAACAGUUAACAUAUUUGCAGCACUUGGAUUUUACACCUGUGCAUACGGAACGGCCUGGAGAACUAAUUGCGUACUACAAGAUUGCAAGGCACUACAAGUGGGCCUUGGAUGAAUUAUUUAUCAAGCAUAAUUUCAGUCGAGUAAUCAUAUUAGAAGCAAUUGCUGGACAGAUGACAUGGAGAUUGCCCCAGAUUUUUUUGAUUAUUUUGAGGCCACAGCUUCUAUACUCGAGAAUGACAAGACAAUCAUGGCUGUUUCUUCUUGGAAUGACAAUGGACAAGUGCAAUUUGUGCAUGAUCCUAAAACUCUUUAUCGCUCUGAUUUCUUUCCCGGGCUUGGGUGGAUGCUAUCAAAAUCUAUAUGGGAUGAGUUAUCACCAAAGUGGCCUAAAGCUUAUUGGGAUGACUGGAUUAGGCUUAAGGAGAUACACAGAGAGCGCCAAUUUAUUCAUCCAGAAGUUUGUAGAACUUACAAUUUCGGUGAGCAUCAAGGUUUAUGGUACCGAUCGGCAUCGUACCGUACCGAGCAUAUCGUACUGUACCAGACGGAAUUGGGCUCAAGUAUGGGGCAGUACUUUAAAAAAUAUUUGGAGCCUAUCAAAUUGAAUGAUGUUCAUGUUGAUUGGAAGACAAUGGAUCUAAGCUACCUGACCGAGGACAAAUUUUUGAGACACUUUGCUAAACUAGUUGCACAUGCCAAACCUGUUCAUGGACCUGAUUUAAUUUUAAAAGCACACAACACAGAUGGUGAUGCGUGGAUCCAAUAUAAAGAUCAAGCUGACUUUGAACAAAUUGCACGACAAUUUGGGAUAUUUGAAGAAUGGAAGGAUGGCAUUCCCAGGACAGCAUAUAAAGGAGUUGUAGUGUUCCGGCAUCAAACUUCAAGGCGAAUAUAUCUUGUGGGCCCAGAUUCUCUCAAGCUACUUGGGCUAGAGCAUUCUUGAAAAUAAUCACAUCAUUGGUUUGUUUGAGGUGUUGCUGAUAGUUUUUUUUUCUUACGUUAAAAAAUUUUGAUUAAGUGUUCUCUUUGUAGAACUCAAGAUCAUAAGAUAUAGAGUAUAGGAAAUAUCAAUCAGGUUCAUUUUCCUAAUUGAGUAUAAGGUGGAAGCAUGUCAAAAGAAGCUCAAGUUCAUUUAGAAGACAAAAAAUACCAAGAAAGAAAAAUAGUUGAUAUAAUUGAAGGACUGAUAUAGAGAUGCUCAGACAACACAAACAUAAUUUAACGGCCAGCCGAACCAAAAGAGAUUCUUAUCAAACAUGCAUAUUUUUCUUGUUUGUCCUGUCUAGUCUUUGCCAUGUAAUUUUAACAUUCGCAUGUCACAGCAUAGCCCACAACUGGGUAAUCUACUGGAUGUAGGCUUACUGAUGAAUGUUGGAAGAAAAUGUAACAAUGGCACGUGGGAUGCAAAUUUAUACCAUGACGUCUAUUUCAUGAUCAGGCUAAAAUUCUAAAUGACGGUGCAGUAAUUUCUCUAUUGCUUUGUAUUAUGCAUAACUUUUUCUUUAUGACAAAACAAGCUUGGUCACGUUGGAAAA